rnacentral:rRNA from 1 species
UCCUACGGGAGGCAGCAGUGGGGAAUCUUGCACAAUGGGCGAAAGCCUGACGCAGCCAAGCCGCGUGAAUGAUGAAGGUCUUAGGAUUGUAAAAUUCUUUCACCGGGGACGAUAAUGACGGUACCCGGAGAAGAAGCCCCGGCUAACUUCGUGCCAGCACCCGCGGUAAUA